rnacentral:lncRNA from 1 species
CCUGGCAGGAGUGUGGAUUCUGGGCUCCAUCCACUGGGCUGGCGGGAACAGCGGGAACAGGAGAGGUGUGUUGCUCACCGCUCUAUUUCCAGUACCUACUGCGCGCUCCUGGGCGAAAGCCGGGCGCUCCAAGCCACGGGGCGUCACCAGGGCCCCAGAUCCCGGGAUUGCUGCUGGCGCAGAGGCGGGGCGACCGAGCAGGGAGAGGCAGGCCGGCUCCUUCUUCCAGGGUGCAAGAUACAGCGUGUCUUGUCUGGGCAAGUUGUGAUGAGGCGGAGAGCCUGGCGUCGCCUCUUGUGUUCCCAGGCUCCAGGCCGUGGGUGGCUAAGGCUGCCCCACCCCCCUCCCGCCCCUCCCCUCCACGGUCUUCUGGUGGCUUCUUCUCUCCGCUACCCCGCUCGUCUGGCAGCUGGGCGGGACCGCCCGUGCCUAGACCGCAGCGCUAAAAUGCGCUCCUCCAAUCCCGCAGCUGCUGCACACACGUGACGCGUUGGUGAGCUCCGUUGCUAGCUCCGGGUGCUAGCCCCGGGAAGACUUUUCAAAAAAGAAAGCAGACACGCUUCCACCUUCUAGUUACUCGCUCUUUGAGCUCGCUGCUUCCUCUGAAGGGCCGGCGUCAAUUUCCUUCUUGGAAGAGGUGCAUUUUAACUGCAGAUCUAUGCAGAUGAAAGAGACAGACCUUCUCGAGUCUAAUGCAGGGUGUGUGCUCCAGAGCCAAGAGAAGUCGUGAAUACUCCUUAAACCUGAAGUUGGAACCCUCGUGAUCCGGCAAGGGGGAGAGCAGGGAUCUCCGUAUGCUCUCAUAUGAACGCUGGAUUAUAAAACUAACAAGAUUACAGAGCAGAGUGACGGCAGGAACUAGGCUUUGUAACACACUGGAUAGAAGAUCCUAUUAUUUCUGAAAUCUAUCCUACACAUGGGCUUUCAGUUUAAUUGAGAUACAAUAAACUAAUCCAAUUUGAGGACUUUGAAGCAAUUACAAAUGUGGAAGUGAUUAGCACAAAAUAAUAUGCUGGUUAGUUUUUAAUCAACUUGACAUUAACUAUCGACACCUAGGAAGACAGAACCUCAGUUAAAGAUUUGCCUCCAUCCGAUUGGCCUGUGCAUGUCUGGGGCAUUUUCUGUUUGAUAGUGAGGGUGGUUUCACUCUUGGGCAGGUGAAAUUAGGUGGGGAG